rnacentral:lncRNA from 1 species
CAGCUAAGCAGAUAACGGCGGCCCCUGCCUUCGGAUCCCGCGGAAUAUUCCGUAGCCGUCAACUAGCCCGGGUUUGAACGGAGCCGGAUGGCGAACGAAGGAGCCGAGCCUGACUGGCGUCCACCCCCGAGGAUGAUAACGAUUUGCAGCCGCUGGCUUUUGGCUCCGCGCCGCCGGCUCGAAAAUUGAAUGAAACGUAACCCGAUGCUUUACCAACUACCGAAAUCGGUGUGGAGGAGUAGUUCUUACAAAAAAGAAAAAAUGGUAUGUAGUAUAUUCUCUGAUUUUUUCGGUAAAAUGGAAGUAGUCUAUUCUCGUUGAAUGGUCGAGGUAAUUAUGACCUAAGUUACUCAUUUUUUUUAUUUUGUAGCUUGCCAUGUAUUAAAGUAUAUUUUAUGAGUAUGGUAUUGUGUACCAAUUCAUAUAUCAAUGUCAAUAGUAAGGCGAACAAAAUUAUCUUUGAUAUACUAUAAU